AGCUGCAGUUCAUGGGAGACAAAGAGAGGCAGCUGAGGAACUUGGGGAGUACGGGCUCCAGCCACACACAUCUGGAGGUGGGCCAGGAUCUAGCACUCUUCAGAAAGAAAACAGCCUGCCUAAGUGAUGGGAGGCAUUGACUGCCCCCAAGCCAUCAGAGAAUGAUUAGGUCCCUCGGACUGUGCGCCUACCUCUCAGUCUCAUUGCACCUGUGUUUUUAUACUCAUUUGUGGGAUUUUAGAUCAUAUCUGAGCCCUCUCUUAGACCACAGGUGCUGUGCAGUCACGGUCCUGUCACCUGUUCAUUUGUCACAUCCUUACUGCUGGGUACUGAAUGAUUGUGCCCUCCCCCUCUUCCUAUGGAUGCUCUGACUCAGGAGGUGAUGAUAUUUGGAGAUGGAACUUUUGGGAGGUGAGUAGGGCUAGAUGAGGUCAUGAGGAUGGGCCCUUGUGAUGGAGUUACUGCCUGUACUGGAAGGGACGGGACAGAGUCUGCUUUUCUCUCUCCAUGAGCACCCAUUAAGACAGGACCAUAGGACAACACAGCAAGAAGGUGGUCAUCUGCAAGCCAGAAAGAGCCUUUACCCGGAACCAAAAUCUGCUGGACCAGGAUCUUAGACUUUACCGCUUCCAGAGCUAUGAGAAGCAAAUUUCUGCUAGGUCUACCCAUCUGAGGUAUUGGUUGGGGCAGCCUGAGCUGACUGGCAGCUUGACGUGUCCAGCACAGAGCAUGUGCUCUAUCCGUAUUGGUUGGUUUGGUUUGACAAAUAUGUUAGAAUCCUAAAACUAACCAGUGCUUGAGUGGAACUUAUUAUGUCUCUGGCUUUUUUUCUAAGCAAUAUUGAAACAGUAGGUCCUUUAAUCCAAGCAGCAACCCCAAUAGUAUGAUAUUAUUUUCAAUCCUUCUUUGUCAGAUGAAAAAAAAUCAAGCUAACAUAGUUACGUAACUUGAUAAGUUCACACCCAGUUAGUGGAGAAGCCAGAAUUUGAACUUAAUUCCAAAACUGGGCACAGAGUGUGUUCUUGAUCACUAAACAAUAAGGAAGAAAUGAAUGAACUAUUAUAGUAAGAUGAUCAUGGAUUUGGUGUCAGACACAUAUGGCAUAGAGCUCUGGUUCCACAUUUGCCACUAUAACCCAAGACAAGUAGUGACUUUUCUGUUUCCUCAUCUAUGAACUUGAGAUGCUGUUGAUGAACCACCUGGGGGUGGAUGUGAACUACUUAGGAAGUUAAAGGUAAACAACUUACUCUCGGCACUCUUAGUUAGUUAGUUCUGUCCCAUCCUGUUCUGGUUUCCCUGUGCAUAAGAAUUUUCUUUACAGAGCAACACUCAAGCCAUUUUUAUCACAACUUCAGGGAUAUAUUUUUUUCAAAAUCUUUAACCAUUAAAAUGAACAGUCUACUACAUGUAGUUAGAUGUCCUAAAUUCAAGGGCUUAUGACUAGUUGCUUUGCUAUGUCUUACUUUAGAAUCUCCUAGCAGAUAACAACAGUAUAAAAGACAGGCACAGGUUAUUUAUUCAAUAAUAGCAGAAGCUGAAACAAUCCAAAUGUUCAUUUUGUUGAUUGAACAAACCAUAGCACAUAUAUACAACAGGACACAGUGCAGCUAUAAAUAGGAAGAGUGAUUCUCUAUACUUUGAUGAGCUGUUCUCUAAGGGAGAAAUGAAUGUAUUAUGUGCUAUCACUUGUCUAAAAAAGGAAAGUUUCUCUCUUUCUCUCUCUCUCUCUUUCUCUCUUUCUCUCUUUCUCUCUCUCUCCUCUUACACACACAUUAAUCUGUCUUAAUUUGUUUACUGAAAAACUAAAGUGAAAACCAUAAAAAGCUGUUAUCUACUAGAUGAGAGAGGGAUCAGGAAACAGGAUGGAGGAAUAAAGCUAGAAUCUGAACUUAAAAUUCUAUCUUGUUUUGAGUCAACUUUAAAAUCAUGGAAAAUUUUUUACUUAAUUAUAAAACUAAAUAGAUUUUAAAAGUGUCUGUAAAAGUAAACAAGUAAAUAAUGAACCUUCAUCUCUAACCCAUGGAGAGAAAAUACGUAUGCCUGAUGCUUUUUUAAACAAUAAUUUGAUGGCCCAUUCCUAGAUGAAAAUACCCUAAGGAUAAAAAGAAUUCCAAUAAAAAGUUAAAACGUGUUACAAUAAUCGUAGGUGGUAAUAUUUGCAUUAGUAUUCUUAGACUAUUGUACAAUAAAGCAAAUGGACAAUUGUGUUGUUGUCAUUGAAAACUGGAAUUCUGGGGAACAGGAAAUAGCUGCAGAAGUAAAUCUGGUGAUAUUAAAAAAGCCGUAGGUCCUCAAUAAGAAAACACGGAUCACUGUGAACUUGAGUUGUGUGCGUUUCCUAGCUCUUCCCACUGAAAUCAAGGCCCAGAAGAGAAUGGAAACCUAGCAGCAACAAUGGGCACCCAGAGCUUCCAGACUGUGAUUUCUUAAUAUUGGUUUCUAUAAAAAUAAUCCUUACUCUUUCCAGAAGUGGUUCAGUUUUAGGACAGAAAAUUUAAAAAUCUAGAAUAUUUUUUUUCAUGCCAUAAACAAGGAAUCUCUCUGAGACUACAAACUCCGGUAGUAAAACGGAUCUAAAAGCCAGCUUGCAUAGGCUUCCAGUUGUCAAAGGUGUGAGAAAUUAGGCUUUACUAAGAAUAAUAAUUGCAAUGGAUGGGAACACCAGAAAUACACUAAAAUGCAUAAAUUCAGAGUGGCACUUAAAAAGACAAAAUCUCAUCCAUCGCUUCUGAAUGGUGCUAGGGAACAAAUUUAUCAGGGAACUCAUAGGAACCAAACUCAUAGGUAAAGAAUUCAGCAUUUAUCAUCGUUUCAUGACUUGUAUUUCCAGGUAAGAGUUGGUGAGAUGGUUCUUUUAAAUAAUGUAUUCCAGCUAAUAAAUUAUGGACUACUGAUAGGAUUAGAAUGUCACUAUCUAGUGAACAGAUGAAUACAGGCUAUUACCAGUAGCUGCUAAUAUCACAAAAAGAGAGACAAGGAGACACUAUCCAUCUUCUAAUUAUAGUUAAAUAUUUUUGCAGGAAAAAAAUGAAACCAAAUCUCAUCAAGUUUCUAGAUAUAACAACCAAUUCAAGAUAAACCUAUGAGAGGAAAGUGUUAAAUAACUUUAGGGGUUGCAGUGGACAAACUCUGAACUAGGAGGACUUCUACAUGCCCACUGGCCCUCACAGAAUACUGCAAAAAAAAAAAAAAAGAUGGAGGUUGAUCCUGCAGAUUUAAAGAUGUAUCAGCCAAUGGCAAUACACAGACUUUAUCUGGAUUUCCAUUCCAAUAAACAAACUUAAAAGAUACAAUUAUAAGUUAACCAAGAAAUGGAAACAUGGCUUAGAGAUUUGACAAUAUAAAUGAAUUGUGGUUUUCGUUUUACAAGUGUAUUCUUUUAAUUGUGAUCAGGUUAAAAAAAAAUCUCACUUUAGACACAUAUUGAAGUCCUUACAGAUGAAUGAUAGAAGGGAAGAGGUCAAGGGGCCAAAUAAAUAGGGAUACAGAUGUAACGAGGCUGGAUGUGAGUCAAUGUGACCUCGGACAUGCUUUUAUGUGUUCUUGUAUGUUUUUGAAAUUUCCCACACCACCUCCCCCGCAAAAUAAUCAUGAGCAGAGGCAGCGGCUUGUUCACAAGAAUGCUAGUCCUGGGUGUUCCACCAGGUAGCUGGGUGGCCUUGGUAAAUUCAUUCCGCUUGUUGGUUUCCUUUCCCAUGACUAAGGCUGAUGGCCCUUAGCCUGUCUAAUUUGAGAUAUGGAUUAUUAUAUGGAACUAUUAUUGGGACCAAGUGACAUGAUGCACACAAAGGCCAUCUGAAAUGUCUAAAAUAUGAUUGCAAGGUGUUCCUAUAAUUUAAGGCAUCUGUGGAUGAAAUGAGAUCAAAAGCUCUGCUUUGAUCAUUUUCUCUUCCAGAUUCAAGAGCAUCGGUUUUGACUUCUAUGUUUGCAGCACAGCAUUUUCUCACCCAUAACUAUUUCCCAAUGAAAUGCUUUUUUUUUUUUCCCCAUUAAACAUGCAUGCUUAUGGGGCUGGGGUUGUGGCUCAGUGGUAAAGCGCUUGCUUAGCAUGCGUAAGGCGCUGGAUUCGAUUUUGGACACCACAUACAAAUAAAUAAAAUAAAAGUCCAUCAACAACUAAAAAAUAUUUAAAAAACAAUGCAUGCUUGGUCGAAGUAGGAGGUACUUGUUUAUUUCUGUCCUAUUGAAGUGCCCUGAUGUAAAGGAAUUCAACUCGGAAAUAUGAAUAGGGAAAUAUGGAGGCCUGGGUUUCACCUAAGCAAGAAUUUUCCAGUUAUAAGAACACUGUUUACUUUUCAGCCUGGUGACUGAAGGUAGAUGCAUUGAAUGCAGGUGCACAGAGACCAUGCUGUCCAAGCGCAGACAGCGUCAGGAAGGCAGGUGCCAGCUGGUAUUAAAGCUCCACACAAGGCUUUUCACAUCAUGACAGCCACUGCUGGCGGAGCCCCUGCCUUGCUCAGGCUCCGUUGCAGGCACUUCAUGGCAUUCAAGCUCAUUCAGUCCCCUGACAGCUCACGGAGGCAGGCGCUUCAUUAUCUCCAUUUCACAGUUACUCUUUUUGAAAUGCACAUAGACCAGAGAAAGAUGGACUGGGAUCCAGAGCAGAGCGACGAGGCUGAUGAGGCCAGGUUUCUACAGGGAGAGAAGACUUCUCCAGAGAUUGACCGAUCACUGGUUGGAAUCUGCCUGGAUAAGUCCCACUGGUCUCUGGGAGUAGGCAAUACCUCCUGAGUGAAGCUCCUUCUCGCAAGACCCUGGGCAAGUGUGUCCAACACCUAACACUUCUGCAUUGUUUAGAGUUCACUCUCCUCUUAGAAACUCUGCCAGGAAUGGGGUUUUGUGUAGUUCUUCCUCACUCCAGAUCCCAGUGAAGGACAGGGGCUCAGAGUCUGAGGAUGUAGCUCAGUGGUAGAGUGCUUGCCUAGAGUGAAUGAAGCCCUGGGUUCCAUCCCCAGCACCAUGAAAAAACAAAACAAAAAAAUCAAAACCAAAAGACUAGGGACUCAGAGUAGAAUCAGUGUGGUAGGCACUUUUUCUAAUCAGGACAAUUUAGCAAUGAAGUUUUUCCUCGACACGUACAUAUGCACACACGAAGCAGCAUACAAAACCCUAUACACAACCAUCUCAAAGAGUCCUCAAACCCUAUACAUAAUCAUCUCAAAGAGUCCUAUGUGGAUGUUACUACUUUGAGAGUCAAGGUUCUGACUUUCAGGAAAUAAAUAACUUAUCCAAGGCCACAACUCUGAGAAGAGCCAGGCCAGAACCCUGCCUCUGCUGAUCCUCCAGCCUGAAUGUUUACCCAGCACAGCACACACCUUCUCUAGCAAUAAUUUUCUCCAGGCAAUAGAUUUGGGAAGGAUCCCAGUUUGCCUUAGGCAGAAAUAAAAAAAAACUCUUUUAUUAA